rnacentral:rRNA from 1 species
GACGAACGCUGGCGGCGUGCUUAACACAUGCAAGUCGAGCGGUAAGGCCCUUUCGGGGGUACACGAGCGGCGAACGGGUGAGUAACACGUGGGUGACCUGCCCUCAGCUCUGGGAUAAGCCUGGGAAACCGGGUCUAAUACUGGAUAUGACUCCAUGACGCAUGUUGUGGGGUGAAAGCCUUGUGCGGCUGAGGAUGGGCCCGCGGCCUAUCAGCUUGUUGGUGGGGUGANGGCCUACCAAGGCGACGACGGGUAGCCGGCCUGAGAGGGCGACCGGCCACACUGGGACUGAGACACGGCCCAGACUCCUACGGGAGGCAGCAGUGGGGAAUCUUGCGCAAUGGGCGAAAGCCCUGACGCCAGCGACGCCGCGUGAGGGAUGACGGCCU